GUUUUAUAAUGUUUCCCCAGUGUUUUCCAAUAGAGGAAGGAUGUAAGCUAUUUUAUAGGGGGAAAGGAAACAAGAGAAAGAAAAAGAGAAGAGAGAUUGAAUUUCAGAGCGCACCUUAUGUAAAUAUUUGAGACAUCUGUGAAUCUGGGAUAACCUUUUCCAUCUUGAGAGAGAUUCACUGUUUCCUGUGAUAAAUUCUCACUCUCACCUCUCCAAUAAAUACUGCCUCGGGUGCUAUCAAUAGCACGAAAAGUCAUCCAUCUAGCCUAGGGCCUAGGCUACUUCUCUUCCUAAACCUAGACUAGAGAACAUACGUUUGUAACGCGCCUUUACCGCCAAAACCAACAAAAUAACACCGAGCACCAAAUCUUGAUAUCCAUACCUUUUCGGCUUCCUUUGAACAGAACCAUGUGAUCAACUCAUUUACCAAUCACAUCAUGUUUUGUUUUGUAUUCCGUUUGUGAUUGGUCCUUGGGGAUUUUGAAAAAUACAAAAUCCUCUAUCAUUUUCAUUCUGUCAAUGUCAAAAGAAAAACUAUGGGGUGGGCCGAAAACAUGUUGGUAUUGGUUCUACGUUUAAAAAUAUAGAAGCACUCUUAUCAACUUCCACUGUCCUACAAGAGGUGGUGAAUUUUCUCUUCCCUUCAGUAGGUUCCUCAAUUGAAUUAAUUUAUGUAGGCCUACCUUGGAGAGUGAGGUGUAGCAGCAGUGUUCAAAUCAUCAUUGUUAAAAGGCAACCACCACCACAGAUGUGUAGGCUAUCAAUCGAGAUGUUACAUCAUCUGAUCCAUGGCCACAUCAGAGAGAGAAAUCCCCCAUGAACCAGCAGUUCUCCAUGUGAUUCCCUCCCUCCCUCUCUAUCUCUCUGAAUAUGUCAAUCUUUUUCAUCUGUUACAUAACGUCACACAGGGGACGAGGGCACUUCAAUCAAUACUUCAAAUGCAGGGGCCCCAGAGGACUCGUCCCAAAUGUCACGUGAUACCAUGAGUGGGUGACAUUUGGAGAAAGAAGCGAAGACUGCACCAGCCUCCCAAAUGCCUGCUACAAUACUGCUACCGGCCACAGCCUGGAGGGCCUGGAGAAUGAGAGUGAGUGAGUGAGUGAGUGAGUGAGAGAGUGAGAGAGUGAGAGAGUGAGAGAGUGAGAGAGUGAGAGAGUGAGAGAGUGAGAGAGAGAGAGAGAGAGAGAGAGAGAGAGAGAGUGUAAAGUUUACUGUUCAUUUGUAUUGUUUAUUUCACUUUUGUUUAUUACCUACUUGCUUUGGCAAUGUUAACAUAUGUUUCCCAUGCCAAUAAAGUCCUUGAAUUGAAUUGAAAGAGAAACACAGACGGAGACAGAGACAUUAGUGUAGUGGAAAAUGACAGCGUGAAUUAGCAAUAGGAGGGAGAGAUGGGAAAAGGAGGGAUUGAUAAAAACACUCACUCGGGUACACUUGCUUUGUGUGAGUCAUGUGUCUCACCGAGAUAAAAGCAAAAAAGAAGAAAUAGAAAUGGAACAUUUUAGGGAGGAAGAAACGUCAAGGGAAAAUAACACCUACUCUGUUUACAUGGGAUUGAUUGACAGCAGGGUGACUCUUUGUAAAGGUAAAGUCAUUAUUAAAAAGCCAAUCAGAAGCUUGGUAGCGUCCACCAGGCCCCUCUCACAAAGUUGCCGCUGGUGACAGCUGUGAUGACGUUCCCACGGGAACUGAGCCUACAUGUGAUAUUAUAAAGUAUCCAUUAUCGCAUAAUCCCCAGCCUGCAAUGGCAAUAUCCCCACCGAGUGUAAACGGUUGAUGCGUCA
rnacentral:lncRNA from 13 species